rnacentral:rRNA from 1 species
GUCCGCUAACGAGCGCAACCCUCGCUGUGUGUUAUAUGCGUCACACGGGACUGCCGGUCUUAAGCCGGAGGAAGGUGGGGAUGAUGUCAAGUCAGCAUGGCCUUUAUAUCCUGGGCUACACACACGCUACAAUGGCCAACACAAUAGGUUGCUAAGCCGCGAGGUGGCGCCAAUCCAUAAAGUUGGUCUCAGUUCAGAUUGUAGGCUGCAACCCGCCUGCAUGAAGAUGGAGUUGCUAGUAACCGCAGGUCAGCUAUACUGCGGUGAAUACGUUCCCGGGGCUU